rnacentral:lncRNA from 1 species
AUGCCAAUCAAAAUCCCAACGGCAUUUCUUGUAGAAAUAGAUAAAGCAAUCAUGAAAUUCAUAUGGAAAAACAAAAGACCCAGAAUAGCAAAAGCAAUUCUAAGCAGGAAGUGUGAAUCUGGAGGUAUAGCGAUACCAGAGUUCAAACUGUACUACAAAGCAAUAGUAACAAAAACAGCAUGGUACUGGUACCAAAACAGGCAGGUGGACCAAUGGUACAGAAUAGAGGACACAGAAACCAAUCCACAAAAUUACAACUUUCUUAUAUUUGAUAAAGGGGCUAAAAGCAUGCAAUGGAGGAAGGAUAGCAUCUUCAACAAAUGGUGCUGGGAAAAUUGGAAAUCCAUAUGCAACAAAAUGAAACUGAAUCCCUUUCUCUCGCCAUGCACAAAAGUUAACUCAAAAUGGAUCAAGGACCUAGAUAUCAAAUCAGAGACACUGCGUCUGAUAGAAGAAAAAGUUGGCUACGAUCUACAUACUGUAGGGUCGGGCUCCAGAUUCCUUAAUAGGACGCCCAUAGCCCAACAGUUAAUAACAAGAAUAAACAAAUGGGACUUACUUAAACUAAAUAUUGUUUCUCUUGCUGAGAAAAAACUAAGAGAGGUAAAUAGAGAGCCUACAUCCUGGGAACAAAUUUUUACCCCUCACACUUCAGAUAGAGCCCUAAUAUCCAGAAUAUACAAAGAACUCAAAAAAUUAAACAAUAAGAUAACAAAUAACCCAAUCAACAAAUGGGCCAAGGACCUGAACAGACACUUCACAGAGGAGGACAUAGAAUCAAUCAACAAGUACAUGAAAAAAUGCUCACCAUCUCUAGCAGUCAGAGAAAUGCAAAUCAAAACCACCCUAAGAUACCAUCUCACUCCAGUAAGAUUGGCAGCCAUUAUGAAGUCAAACAACAAUAAGUGUUGGCGAGGAUGUGGGGAAAAGGGUACACUUGUACACUGCUGGUGGGGCUGCAAAUUGGUGAGGCCAAUUUGGAAAGCAGUAUGGAGAUUCCUGGGAAAGCUGAGAAUGGAUCCACCAUUUGACCCAGCUAUCGCCCUUCUCGGACUAUUCCCUGAGGAUCUUAAAAGAGCGUACGAUAGGGAUACUGCCACAUCAAUGAUCAUAGCGGCACAAUUCACAAUAGCUAGACUGCGGAACCAACCUAGAUGCCCUUCAAUAGAUGAAUGGAUAAAAAAAAUGUGGCAUCUAUACACAAUGGAGUAUUACGCAGCACUAAAAAAUGACAAAAUCAUAGAAUUUGCAGGGAAAUGGAUGGCAUUAGAGCAGAUUAUGCUAGGUGAAGCUAGCCAAUCCCUAAAAAACAAAUGCCAAAUGUCUUCUUUGAUAUAAAGAGAGCAACUAAGAACAGAACAGGGAGGAAGAGCAUGAGGAAAAGAUUAACAUUAAACAAAGACGAGUGGGGGGAGAGAAAGGGAGAGAGAAGGGAAAGCAUAUGGAAAUGGUAGGAGACCCUCAAUGUUAC